rnacentral:tRNA from 1 species
GCCGCCUCCGAUGAGGCGGCCGGACGUCAAAUCCGGUUGGGGCCGCCAGCGGUGGCGGGCAGGUUUGAUUCCUGUUAUCG